AACGCGAAGAACCUUACCUGGUCUUGACAUCCACGGAAGUUUUCAGAGAUGAGAAUGUGCCUUCGGGAGCCGUGAGACAGGUGCUGCAUGGCUGUCGUCAGCUCGUGUUGUGAAAUGUUGGGUUAAGUCCCGCAACGAGCGCAACCCUUAUCCUUUGUUGCCAGCGGUCCGGCCGGGAACGCAAAGGAGACUGCCAGUGAUAAACUGGAGGAAGGUGGGGAUGACGUCAAGUCAUCAUGGCCCUUACGACCAGGGCUACACACGUGCUACAAUGGCGCAUACAAAGAGAAGCGACCUCGCGAGAGCAAGCGGACCUCAUAAAGUGCGUCGUAGUCCGGAUUGGAGUCUGCAACUCGACUCCAUGAAGUCGGAAUCGCUAGUAAUCGUGGAUCAGAAUGCCACGGUGAAUACGUUCCCGGGCCUUGUACACACCG
rnacentral:rRNA from 1 species